GAUGAAGAACGUAGCGAAACGCGAUAGGUAAUGUGAAUUGCAGAAUUCCGUGAAUCAUCGAAUCUUUGAACGCACAUUGCGCCCGCCAGUAUUCUGGCGGGCAUGCCUGUUCGAGCGUCAUUACAACCCUCAGGCCCCCGGGCCUGGCGUUGGGGAUCGGCGGAGCCCCCCGUGGGCACACGCCGUCCCCCAAAUGCAGUGGCGGUCCCGCCGCAGCUUCCAUCGCGUAGUAGCUAACACCUCGCGACUGGAGAGCGGCGCGGCCACGCCGUAAAACACCCAACUCUUCUGAAGUUGACCUCGAAUCAGGUAGGAAUACCCGCUGAACUUAAGCAUAUCAAUAAGCGGAGGA
rnacentral:misc_RNA from 1 species